rnacentral:rRNA from 1 species
CCCUUAGAUGUUCUGGGCUGCACGCGCGCUACACUGAUGCGCUCAACGAGUUUAUGACCUUGCCCGGAAGGGUUGGGUAAUCUUUUCAAAACGCAUCGUGAUGGGGAUAGAUUAUUGCAAUUAUUAAUCUUCAACGAGGAAUGCCUAGUAGGCGCAAGUCAUCAGCUUGCGUCGAUUACGUCCCUGCCCUUUGUACACACCGCCCGUCGCUCCUACCGAUUGGGUGUGCUGGUGAAAUGUUCGGAUCGGCCGUUUGUCGCGGUUUCCGCGUCAUGUGGCUGAGAAGUUCAUUAAACCCUCCCACCUAGAGGAAGGAGAAGUCGUAACA